UUAGUGAUGCUGAACGUUGUUGGCAUGAACCUGGUAUGUCUUCUUUUGAGAAGCAUUUUCACAAGCCAUUGGUGAAGUAUGUGGCUCACCACCACCCAUACUCCAGCCCUGUUCCCAGUCACUGGUACCUAGAGGGUGAGAGUGAGGCUGCUCAUCACGUGUUCUCCAAGUCAUAAGCUGCUGCUCUCCCACUCACGAUGCUUGGUGAUUCAGUGAUGUUUUCCACUUAAAGACAGUGAUAGCUGUAUCACCACAGUUAAUAGAUGUCUGAUGUGUCCCAGUCACAGAGAUAAUACAAAUGUGAGGAAAUAAUGCUGGUGCAUGAAAGCAUUGGAGACCAUUUGUAAGAAUGCCAUUUGGUAGUUAAAGUGAACAUGAAAAUUGUUUAGUUUUUCUUGGUUUCAUAAACAUUUUUUCUUCCUGUAGAACUGAUAAAUUUCAAACGGAAGAGAGUGGCAGCAUUUAGAAAGAAUCUAAUUGAAAUGUCUGAACUGGAAAUAAAACAUGCCAGGAACAAUGUCUCCCUUUUGCAGAGCUGUAUUGACUUGUUCAAGAAUAACUGAUAUGCUUUCACUCAGAAGAAAAGAAAUGAAUGUGAAAGAAAGCCAAGCAUCACUUGCACUUAAAUCAUUACCACGGAAGAUAUAUUAGCUUCAACUCUAGUUUAAAAUUAUGUGAAUAAAUAUUUUGAUUUCUACAAAUCUUAACAUUUAACCAUGUUGGUUUAAAAAUAUUAUUGCUUGCUACUUGGACAUAACUAAUUUUUCCUUGUGCAUUUAAUACCUCUGGGCAGAAUCCAAAUACUGGGUUCUCCCGUAGUUCGUCUUUAGUUACUAAGAAAGGGUGUAGGACACAUUAGCCUUCUGGAAACAAGUAGAAUCCAUCACCUGGCCCAUGUCCCUACAAACCCAUGAUUGUCAGGGAGGUGCCAGUUACAGCAGGUGAUUCAGCUACUUGAGGUCGGUAACAGACCUUCCAUUCCUCACUGAAGGUGGGGUUUGUGUUUUUGUUUUGCCCUGUUACUCCACUGGUAGUCAUCUGGUGUUUGUACUAUAACAACAGCAAGAAAAUCUCAUUUAUCUUUAUAUACUCUUUGCACCUCCUUUUUUUAGUCGAGAUAUAAAUAUUUGAGGGGAGAGAAAUAUCUACAGGUAUAUAUGGAAACAAAUAAUGUGGUCUGCUUUAUAAGAUGGCCAGAUCUACAUUAGGAAAAGUAUGAGCCCCCUCCCUAAUGGCCGCUGGGGGGUGAGGGGGGUGUGUUGUAUGUCUUUGGGUGUUUGUUUUUUUAUAAAGCAUAUAAUAAAAUAAUCGUGCUACUAA
rnacentral:sRNA from 1 species